UGUACAGUGUUACUAAGGUUGAGAUCGGACGUCAGCGUUAUCAUUAUCAUUAUCGAACUGCUUAGCCGUAAGGAAAGGCUACAAACUGCCACUUGCUGCUUCGAACGAUUAGGCAGAUUAAUGUGUCCGGCGACUCGUUUGGAUACGUACUUGCCAUUCCUUUCUGCGUCGCAAAGUUGUUCUCGGAAUCGGUCACCUUGUCGUCUUUUUAUACAUCUUUUUGUAAGUGCAAGUUGUGCAAUCGACAACAUUGGCGGAGGUGCACGUGAAGUGAUCAGUAAUUUUGAUCAAAAUAAUACAAGUUUAUAACCUCUUUUCUUGAUGGAUCACUUGGUUCCCAAUAUUUUCUCGAUGUUAUGAAUGAAAGAAUAAAAUUUGCAUCAUGUGCGAGCGCACACGAAAGUUCCGGGUUGAUUAUUAGUCCUUCAUCAGUUUUCUUGGCUUUUGUCACGUGUGGAUGAAAUUAGUGGACUUAAGGAGUGAUUGAUUAACUGCGUGAUUGUGAGGGUGUAUUGUGAGAGUGAAUGAAAUGCGAUGCAAACUGUGCUAAUUCAUUCAGAUGGGGAGUUAAACAUAUAAAUCCCUCAAGGAUAUUUAUUUUGAUAAUGUUUAGAAAAUUAUUGUACGAAUAAAGCACUUAUUAAUUACAUCAUAAUGGUGUAGUUUAUUGGAGCAGGGAGGUAUGCCCUACACACGACCUUACCUUUAUCCUCUCUUUUUUUUCUUUUUUUUUUUCUUGCAGAUUCCUCUGGAUCAAGCAAUAGAACGUACAGCGAAGAAAUUUUCUGAAAGUGAAACGAAAAUGCUGCUGAUUAUUUCUAUUUUUGUUUUGGAAUUACUAGAUGUAACUGUGUCUGCCCAAAAAGCCAAAAGUUUGCCAAAUGUUUUCUGUCAACCGCAUGAGACAAUUAUCCCUGUUGAUCCAACCAACUAUGGCUAUUAUCCGUUCUAUGUGAACCUUCACCGGUGUUCUGGCUCGGCGAACUCAGCUUCUCCUAAAGUGCAACAUUGCGUGGCUCAAAGAUACGAGGAAAUAAACGUUGAAGUCCAUUCACGUGCAGCAAACUUUCGGACGAUCUUCACCAUGCAAAAUCACACCAGCUGCACUCAUAAAUGUGUGGCCAGUCCACUUGACUGUGAUCUUGCAGUACAAGACUGGGACGAAAAUGAAUGCGCAUGCAAGUGCAGGUAUCUUGAGGGACCACCCAAGGAACUCGCCUGUAAAAAAGGAUUUAGUUGGAAUCAGUUCCAGUGCAAGUGUGUUUGUGCAAGACCAGUAGAAUUUUGUCCUGUCAACAUGGAAUGGAGUAACACAGCGUGUGGUUGCGUUUGCAAUCAGACUGUUCUGGAACUUUGCGAAUGGGGGAAAAAAUCCCUUAACGCCUCAACUUGCGAGUGCGAAGGACCUAAAACAAUUGUGACAAAUACAGUUCUUGGUAAAAGAAAUGUGGAGAUAACGAAUUGGAAGCACUUAGUGUUGUAUAUGGUUGGAGAGUUUGUCGUUUUAUUUCUCUUGUUUGACUUGAUCCUGUACUAUAAUCACGGGAGUGGUAUAAUCUGCAAAGCCUGUCGCUGUCUUCGUAGAGCUACUUCAAAUAAUGGUCAAGAAGUCGCGUAUACUGAAACGUCAAAUGGAUUUAAUGCAAGUGGGAACCAGAGUCCCACGAUUGAAAUAAAACAGAGUUGAAGAACGUGUCAGUCUCGACAUGCCUCUUUCGAUAACGUUUGUCACCGAUGGCUUACGAAAGGCAAAAGAGAUCAUAAGCACUUACUGCAUGGCAGCAUCAACGCUGACACGGGUGACAAAGGAACAUGUUAAUAUGCCAAGCAGUGGCUCCAAAUAAGCUAAAUAAAUGGAAAGUCUAUACGUGUGGUAUUUUACGCACGAGUUGGCAAAUUGAGUGCGCAUGCUUGUAACUUGCGAUAAAUGUAAAGGAAUAGGAACGACAAUACAGUCGAACUUGUAUUACGUGUCAUCCUGUAUUUUAAGCGGUCGAUUAUUGUCAUCGCCUCCUUUGUAGGAGACCCCAGAGAAAUAGUUUUUUUUUCUCGGCGGAAAAACCCAUGUCAGCUUAUGAUUGCAGAAGAUGAAUCGUAACCCUGAACGUUCAAAUGGCUCGAAUAACGAAGCAUGCGCACUCAUUUUGAAGCUGUGUCAGUACAUAGUUAGUAGUAUCGGAAGUCGAACGAGUGAGAUUUCUGAAACAAACCAACGAAUACGUAAAUACCAUACGAACAGACCUUCCAUGUUGUAUUAUGUUUAUUUUAUACAUGCAGAGAUGCAAUGCUUGUCGUUAACACAGGCGGCCCAUACGUACUGUGUGUGAUUUUGGGGUGUAUAGGUCAUUAACGGGAAUUCAUAUACCUAACAUGUCGGAAACAGGAUAAUUAGUAUUGUAACGAUUCAAAAUUAUCUGCCGGAAAUCGAGUGUCACGAUCUGUCCAACAAAAAGAUUGAAUUUUAAAGCGUAAACGUGUGUCGUUAAAAAAAUCGUAAAAGAAAUUAAAAAAAACGCCUUAAAUCUCGUUACCUCGAACCCGUAGCCCCCUUGUCUCUUACGGUCGUUUUAACGUUAUUUUGGCGACUUUCUUUGCGCUGCGAGUUGUGUUACUAUAUAUAAAUAUAUUUUUUUGCAAUAGCUCAACAUGUGGGUUAGAUGUAGCCUAUAACGGCGCAACAAAGCAACUGGUUAGAUAGAGUGAUGCCCAGAAGGUGGAACAAGAGGACGAGGGUUGUGAAUAUCGCAUUUGAUGGUGACACCCAGGAAUAGUGAUACACGGAAACGGCAAACAUACCUGUGUGAGAUUAAGAUCAAGAAGAUCACGAAAUCCGAGACUCCACUUCAACCAUUUCUAAUUUCUCAGCCCUAUCAUCGCUGCUCUAUAAACUAAUCAAGUCUUGUUAUCAUGGGACGGGAGACCCACAUGUGGACGGAUAAAGUGUUUUUAUUAUGUAACCCUUCUCACGCAGCGCCAUCUUGGAUUCCUUGCCACACCAAAUCGAGGCUGGACGGGAAUAAAUUUAGGGGUGUGUUACACUAGUGUUGCAGUAGACAAGUAAGUAUGGCCCACGAUCAAUGCUCUGUUAACUUCUGUACGAACGACAAGAGAAAUCAGAGUGGCAAGAAUUUAUCUUUUUUCAACUUUCCUUCAAAUUCUUUAUUGAGAUCGAAAUGGAUUGCCGCUAUAAAGCGAGAUGAACGGCUAGAUUUUGAGACAUGGUCAGAAUCGCUUGUUAACAUUGGAAGACCUGACCUUCAAGAUGGCGGCAAACAUGGUUGCUACGGGAUACGUGACGUCAGCAGGAAACCUCAAUUGUAAAGGCAAUGUUGGCUUGAAAAAUUCGAUUCUCUUGCAAGGGAUAUUUAUGGCAGAAGCCAUUCUCAAGAUCAAGAAAGGUUCUACUCUUGUGUGCUCGGCUCACUUCAAGCCAGACGAUAUGUAUAAGACUAUAACUCGGCUUACAUGCCUAAGACAUGGAGUUGUGCCAUCGCAGUUUGCAUGGACCAAGGAGGGUAAGGAGCACUGACCAAACAAAUUGCAAGAGUUAAAAAUUAUUGCUGAACAGCAAGCACAGGAGGAGCAACGUCAAUUCUUUUUCGAUUUAAUCCAGCAAGAUGUCGAGAUGGAAGAAGAGGAGACUGAGUCAGCAGGACAGGAAACCAACGCUGGUGCUAAGCCAAUGCAAGUAAUGGCUAUGGACGAACUGGAAAACAAAAACAGUCAGCCUGACGAACUGAGCCCUUAAGAACAAAUUGAAAUACUUAAAGCCAGAAUCAAAGAUCUAGAGCAACAAGUCAAAGAUCUUCAAGAAUCCAAGUUUGAAGGGGAAAACACUUCGAAGGAUCCUGAAUUGCUGACAUUUUACACAGGCUUUACAUCGAAAGAACGAUUUGAUAGCUUUUACAAAUGGAUUGAGCUGUAUGCAAAAACCAUGAUAAAAUGGUCCCAAAUUCAACGAGGCAAAGGCAAAGAAAGCUACCAGCAAAGGUGUAGCAGUGGUAAAUUUGCACUGUCACUCUAUGACCAACUGUUUUUAUUUUUUAUCAGAAUGAGAUUAGGUUUGCUCGAGACAGACCUAGGAGUGAGAUUCAAUAUUAGCAAAAGUACUUUCAGUAGAGUGAUUAUAACUUGGGCAAAUUUUCUGUACACAAUGUGCCAAGUGCCAAGUGCCAAUUUAGCCCACAAAUGCUCAGAUCGAAAGUAGUAUGCCUCAAUGCUUUAAAACUAUAUACCCUAAAACAAGGGUAAUCCUAGACUGCACUGAAAUUAAAGUCCAAAGGCCUA